rnacentral:misc_RNA from 1 species
AAUUUUUGGAAUUUAACAGCAUCAACAGUAUAGGUGGCUUGAAAGUCUUGGCAAUAGUCUAAUUCCUGCCACAAACCACUCAAUUCAGCCAAGUGCUGAGCAAUGGUCAUCUCUCCUUGCUUCGUACUAUGAACUUCGUUUUGAAGCUCAUAGAUUUGUGCAUCAUUGCCCAUUUGAGAAUAAGUUUGUGUGACAGUAUUGCAAAUGGUAGUUGCACUAUUUAAUCAUAAAUAUCCACAAGCAAUCUGAGGUUGCAUGGAGUUGAUGAGCCACGACAUCAUAAGUGAGUUCUUCAAUUCCCAUCAAGUGUAAACAA